CUUGGGAUUCCUAUAUCUAAAUUUGUCACAAGAAUUGCAGGAGGAGGAAGCCAGAAUUCAUAAAGCAUGGGAGACAAACAAUUUCUGAAGUUAUUGUUGGAAUCUUUGCCACUCUGAUCAUAAUGAUCAUGCUCUGGUGGACCAUUUACACAGGAUUUAGGCUUGCAACUGAGCAUAGAAGACACAGCAAAUAUCAUCUCUUCACAUCUUCAAUUAGUGUGGUCACAAUUACCUCUGGUUUGGUUUAUGGGUAAAUUUUUUUUUUCCCGCGUUAUGUCAUAAUUAACACUUGGGUCCCUAUAUUUUAGAAAAUAAAUGAAAGCAUCUCUAAGUUUUGAUUCCGUCAUAUGAAAAUCUAUUCGUCCAUUUUUCUCAAUUUUCGUUGUUAAUGAAGAGUGAAAAUAUCUUAAUACCACUCAAGAUAAAUUAUUAUUUCAUCUCUAAGUUUUAUCAUUAACACUUUAGUCUCUUGUUGACCGCCUUUUACUAACUUGAACAACGGCUAAAUUGACAAAAAUGGAGGAAGAGAUGAAAGUGUAUGACCGAACCAAAACUUAGAGAUGUUUUUAUCUAUUUUCCAAAUAUAAGAACCAAGUGUUAAUUAUGAUAUAACACAUGGAAGAAAAAGUAAUUUACCCUUGGUUUAUUACUUUAUUUCAUCAUUGGACUUGGCAUAAUUAGAGAUCCGUUCACUCAAGGUUGAAGCAAUGAUAUGAAUGAUAUGAGUUAAUUUCUCGACAA